UAGCUCCACCUAACUGUACUCUAAGAAAGUUAAACUUGGUAUCCAAAGCCAAUCUCAACAUUUAUCUCCUCAUACAAGUUCCUCCUUAGGUUUUUCUUCUUUUAAAAACAAAACAAAAUAAACAGGUAAAAUACACACAUUCCCAUUUUACCAGUCAUCCAGGCUCUUAAUCAUAGUAGUUUCAAUUUUUCUAUCUGCUCCCGUUCUUUCUCUUCCCCUCACCCUGCAUGCAUGUGCACAAGUUGCUUCAUUCAUGUCCGACUCUUUGGGACCCUAUGGGCUGUAACCUGCCAGGUUCCUCUCUCCAUGGGAUUCUCCAGGCAAGAAUACUGGAUUAGGUUUCCAUACCCACCCAGGAAUCGAACCCAUGUCUUCUGCAGCUACUGCAUUGCAGGCAGAUUCUUUACCACUGAGCCAUCAGGGAAGCCCACCCCUCACCCUACUCUAUCUAAUUAGAAACCAAGUUCUACAGAUUCUACCACAUAUCACAGUUCAGUUGCUCAGUCGUGUCCAACUCGUUGUGACCCCAUGGACUGCAGCACGCCAGGCUUCCCUGUCCAUCACCAACUCCCAGAGCUUACGAAAACUCAUGUCCAUCAAGUCCGUGAUGCCACAUAUCAUAGGCUUUGCUGAAAUCUGACACUUCUCCCACUACGAAUGUCAUCAUGAUGGUCUAAGCCAUCAACCACUUCUGAUCUACACCAGUAUUUCUCAAAUGUUUCUACAAAAUACCUCUAACAGCAAAAAAAUAUAUAAGUGGUGGGGAGGAGGGUACCUUUAGGGAACGUAACUCUUAGCAGCUUUUAAAUCUUUCUCUACCCACUUUGGAGAAAUUUAUUGGUAGACUCCUAUUAUUUUGGUUUGUUUUAAAACUUUUGGCUGCAAUUCAUAGCAUGUGGAACCCUAGUUCUCCAACCAGGGAUCAAACCCAUGCCUCCUGCAUUGGAAGGUGGAGUCUUAACCACUGGACUUCCACGGAAGUACCCUGUUAUCUUGAAAAAAUUAGGCAGAUUUUGCAAAAUCCAUCUAUUUUUGCUUUAACAUUAUAGGAAGCUUCUAGUUAGUUGCCAGUGAGCCAUAUUGAUGCCUUGAGUACAUUCUCUACAUUUAAUGGGGACUUUAUAUAGGGUACCUGUUUCCUGGUUUGAAAAGAAUCCCUAUGGACCCCACCUAGUCUCUCUGGCCUCUGUCUGUCCACGGGCAUGCACCAUUUUACUUCAUCACUGCCUAAAACGCAUUCCAAUAGCUUCUAGUAGUGCCAUAUGGCUACCAAAUUAAGUAUAUAUGGCUUUUUUGAUUCAAAACCCUCCAAAAAUGAUCAUUCCAAUCUUAUUUCUGAUACUAAGUUACUUUUUUUUGCAAGCUGAAAUGCUUUGAUUACUAUGUUCUCAAUAUUUAACUGAAUCUGGUUACUGGGAAGUCGCUUACUUUCCAGUCAUCUAGCUAGCACUGCUGCUGUUGUUGCUAAGUCGCUUCAGUUGAGUCCGACUCUGCGCGACCCCAAAGACGGCAGCCCACCAGGCUCCUCCAUCCAUGGGAUUCUCCAGGCAAGAACACUGGAGUGGGUUGCCAUUUCCUUCUCCAAUGCAUGAAAGUGAAAAGUGAAAGUGAAGUCGCUCAGUCAUGUCUGACUCUUCUCGACCCCAUGGACUGCAGCCUACCAGGCUCCUCCACCCAUGGGAUUUUCCAGGCAACAGUACUGGAGUGGGUUGCCAUUGCCUUCUCCGCUAGCUAGCACAGUAGUUCUCAAAAUGUGUUCACUAGACCAACAGUAUCAGUAUCACCUGGGAACUUGCUAGAAAUGCAUAUUUUAUGUCCUGUGUUAUUUCUCAGACCUGCUGAACCAAAAACUCUGGCUGAGCAAUUUGUACCCUAACAAGUCCUCUGCUGUGAUUCUGAUGCAGCUGAAGUUUGAGGGGCACUGGUCUAGGGUUUAGUUUUUUAAUUUAAGACAGAGUAAGACGAUGUCCUUGGUGGCCCAAUGGAUAAGAAUCUGCCUGCCAAUGCAGGGAACACUAGUUCGAUCCCUGGUCCAGGAAGAUUCCACAUGCUGCUGAGCAACUAAACCUGUGCACCACAGCUACUGAGCCUGUGUCCUAGAGCCUGUGAGGCUCAGCUACUGUGCCUGCAUGCUGCAACCACUGAGGCCUAUGUGCCUAGAGUUUGUGUUCCGCAACAAGAGAAGCCAUCACAAUGAGAAGCCCAUGCACCUCAACUAGAGAGCCCUUGCACAGCAAUGAAGCCUCAGUGCAACCAAAAAUAAAUACAUUGACUUA
ensembl:lncRNA